GAUGAACGCUGGCGGUAUGCUUAACACAUGCAAGUCGAACGGACUCUUCGGAGUUAGUGGCGGACGGGUGAGUAACGCGUGAGAAUCUGGCUUUGGGUUCGGGACAACCACUGGAAACGGUGGCUAAUACCGGAUGUGCCGAGAGGUAAAAGAGAAAUUGCCUGAAGAUGAGCUCGCGUCUGAUUAGCUAGUUGGUGAGGUAAAGGCUCACCAAGGCAGCAAUCAGUAGCUGGUCUGAGAGGAUGACCAGCCACACUGGGACUGAGAGACGGCCCAGACUCCUACGGGAGGCAGCAGUGGGGAAUUUUCCGCAAUGGGCGAAAGCCUGACGGAGCAAUACCGCGUGAGGGAAGAAGGCUCUUGGGUUGUAAACCUCUUUUCUUAGGGAAGAACAAAAUGACGGUACCUAAGGAAUCAGCAUCGGCUAACUCCGUG
rnacentral:rRNA from 1 species